rnacentral:rRNA from 1 species
GAUGAACGCUGGCGGCGUGCCUAAUACAUGCAAGUCGAGCGAACAGACGAGGAGCUUGCUCCUCUGACGUUAGCGGCGGACGGGUGAGUAACACGUGGAUAACCUACCUAUAAGACUGGGAUAACUUCGGGAAACCGGAGCUAAUACCGGGUAAUAUAUUGAACCGCAUGGUUGAAUAGUGAAAGACGGUUUUGCUGUCACUUAUAGAUGGAUCCGCGCCGCAUUAGCUCGUUGGUAAGGUAACGCUUUAGCAAGGCAACGAUGCGUAGCCGACCUGAGAGGGUGAUCGGCCACACUGGAACUGAGACACGGUCCAGACUCCUACGGGAGGCAGCAGUAGGGAAUCUUCCGCAAUGGGCGGAAGCCUGACGGAGCAACGCCGCGUGAGUGAUGAAGGUCUUCGGAUCGUAAAACUCUGUUAUUAGGGAAGAACAAAUGUGUAAGUAACUAUGCACGUCUUGACGGUACCUAAUCAGAAAGCCACGGCUAACUACGUGCCAGCCGCCGCCGUAAUAC